rnacentral:lncRNA from 1 species
AGUUGGCUCCAGUGGAGAUCUCAAAAGAAUAAUACCCUACAAGCCAAUCAUAUAUGGGAUGUGAUCGGAUGUUUUCUAUAAUUUGUCUUCUAAACUCAUGAAAUUGAUAUUGUUAUUUAAUAAAAUAAGCUUCUUGAUUUAUUAUAUAUUAUAUCUUAUUAUUAUUUUUAAGAUUAUAAUGAAUCUCAUAGGUCUGGGCAAUGAUUUUAGGACCGUGAUGAGAUCAUGCUAGUGAC